rnacentral:rRNA from 1 species
UACGGGGGGAGCAAGCGUUGUUCGGAUUUACUGGGCGUAAAGGGCGCGUAGGCGGUCAGCACAAGUCAGUUGUGAAAUCUCCGGGCUUAACUCGGAAAGGUCAACUGAUACUGUGCGACUAGAGUGCAGAAGGGGCAACUGGAAUUCUCGGUGUAGCGGUGAAAUGCGUAGAUAUCGAGAGGAACACCUGCGGCGAAGGCGG